rnacentral:lncRNA from 1 species
UUUUUUUUUGCAUUGUAUUUAUAGUUUGUUCGCCUAUAAAAAAAUAAUAUACGGUGCUUGCCCAAGCAGUGAAUUUGGAGCAUUUAUAUCUAACAGUCAGAAUGUUAGCCGUUUGCAGUAUUGUUACUACGUGUUUUGGCUCACUAUUUGUAAUGUUCUGUUGAUAUAGAUCCAUUUUUGUGGUAGCGUUGCUAUUCACAAAGAAAUCAUGAACAAGAUUAUAAUAAUCCACUGCAAGUAUUUUUCUUUGAAAUGAAAAUCAUAGUAGUUAUGAUUGACGAAAGGUAAGUUUCUACAUUCACCGUUGCUUCCAAUUGCAUUUAAGUAUCUACUAAAUUAUUGAUUUGAUUCUCAAUUUGUAGGUUUAUAAGUAGGAAAUAUACUGGUGCAUUGCUAUGGACAAAGAUUAGUGUAACUCUCAUAUAAUAUAGCCUCCAAUCAUUUAGUGUAUUCUUAACCCGUCUUUCGAUAGGGUUGUCGUCGAGUCAGACUCAAUUCUUUGAUCUUUUUUAAUCAAAUCUUUAUAUUCUUUCCAAAACCAUUCAAAUCAAAAUAUGACGUGUCACUCACGUAUUCAGUUCACUUACCGUAUUCACUAUGUUAAUUUCCAAAUUCACAAAUCAUUUCUCGAUCAAAUCUCAUCAUGGGCCGAAACCUCCUCUUCCUUCUAUAUCAACCCACGUGGAAAGCCCAGCCCGUUAUCUCUCCCAUAGAUGAUGGCCGAGUCCAUCACUCUCACUUCAUUUUCCUUAUUUUCUUUAUUUUGGUUGAUGGCGAUUUUUAUUUUUAAACAUUGACAUGAUAGAGGUAUUUUCCUUCCCAAUUUGUAUGGAUAUAAAAUUAAUACCUUUUUACUUCAAAUUUUGGGCUACGCUAAUUGUGUUUUACAUGGACACUUUAUUUAGGUACUUUACUUUAAAUUUCAAAUGAAAAUUGAAAUGUUAUUUUUUCCAUAUGAAUUUAUUAUUUAUUAAUUGUAUUAGGCAUGGUUUCUUUGGUUUAAUAUAGACCAUUAGAUCAUCAUAAAAUCUAGUGGUGUAUAUGCUCAUUUUUCUUUUUUUGAUUAAUGAUGAUUUAUAGUUCCUCUCGGUGAACAUGUUGGCUUAUUUCAUAGAAAAAAUGAAGAUUUUUUUGUUGCUAUCGGAAUAUUUCAAAACUCCCUUAUUAAGAUAAUAUACAGAUAUAUAGAUAUAUUUUGGAGGCAUGUCAUGUUCUUUUUCAAAGAACUCUAGGAUUUGUUUUUAGAAAUUGAACCUUGGUAUUGUUUUGUUUCUCCUUCUGUGUUCCAAAGAUCACACACACUAAGAAGUAGGGUUCGGGCGGCUGUAUGCGUUUGUUGAGGCAAGGGCCCCGUAAUUAAAUGGCUAUAUGUACACAACCUCCUGGCCCAUGCUAACCCGUGUUCUCGUGUCAUUGAUGCAGGUACUUGAUUGUAAUUGAUGAUGUGAUUCAAGACAGAUGGCAGGUCAUCAAAUGUGCAUUCCCUGAUGACAACAAAGGGAGCCGGGUAAUCGUAACAACUCUCAAGGAAGAGACAGUCGCUUCAUCUUGCAUGGAUUCUAGCUAUGUCCACGAAAUGAAGCAUCUCAGCAGCUUGAUCCAGCCGUUGCCUGUCCAAGACAAUGGGGAGAGAUGCUACAUUGUCCACGACUCCGUCCGUGAGCUCAUCAUCUCACUGUUGGCCAAGGAGAACUUUGUGACCCUGUCGUCUCAGUUGGUCGGCGUCGCGCCACAUGACAAGAUUCGGCGGCUGUCUCUCCAGUACGACGACCAGUUAUAAGUGAAACCCACAACGCCAAGCAGUGGCAUCCUCUCAAACGUCCGAUCUCUGACCGUCUUUGGGCGCGAUGAAGAGAAACAUGAUCCUGGCAACUUCCGCGUUCUGCGGGUGCUGGAUCUGGAAGACGUACUACGCUGACCCGUUGGAGAAACACCAGCUCCAGGGCAUACACAAGCUGUUCCAGCUCAAGUACCUGGGGCUUGGAGGAGGGGUACCUGCGCUCCCGAAACAGAUUGAGGAACUGGAGAAUUUGGAGACCCUGGAUAUAAGGCCGACGAGGGUCCGGCAAUUGGCGGUGGAUGAUGGUGAUUUCCAGAGGCUGGCGCAUCUCCUGGUGACAGGCGUCGAGCUGCCGAGCGGCGUGGGCAAGAUGAAGAACCUGCAGGAACUGUCGAUGGUGGACGUAAGCAAGAGCAACGCAGCAGCAGUUCAGGAACUCGGCGAGCUGCUGAAGCUAAGGAUCCUUGGGCUCAAGUGGAGCCUAAAGAAGGGUGACAAGGACUGCGCAGCUUGCGAGCAGAACCUGGUCGAUGCUCUGAACAAGCUCACGCUUCAGCAUCUGUGCCUCGAUGCUGACAAGGACUGCUCCCUCGAUUUCCUGGUGGAGUCCUGGUGCCCGUCAUCGAAACUUCGGGAGUUCAAGCUGGCCUGCUCACACUACUACUUUCCCCAUGUCCCGAAGACGAUGGCGAGAGCAGAACUCCCCAGGCUCACCUACUUGGAGAUUGGGAUGGCCACGGUAAGCAACGAGGAUUUGGACAUCCUCGGGGGCCUACGUGCCCUGAUCAUCCUCAAGCUACGUUCCGGAGACAGCGACAAGCAAAGGGUCGUCAUCGGUGGCCAAGCUGGGUUCCCGCUCCUGGAGCUGUUCUGGUUAGAGCGCCGUGACGGAGCCAUCACCGUCACCGGCCUGUCAUUCAAGGAGAGGGCCAUGCCGAAGCUCCGGAAGCUCCGUCUUCGGUGCAAGUACAACGCGUUGGGACUGGGAGCUGCACUUGCAGGUCCGGAGCUUGGCCUCGGAAACCUCGGCAGCCUGAAGCAGGUCCAUGUCAAGAUGGACCUCGAGGGCGUUGCGGAUCCAGACGUGGAGGCCGCCGUGGCUGCCGUCACAAAAGCAGCCAACGUGCCUUCCAAAUGCAGGCUGGAGAUCAGCGUUUCCAUUGUUUCAGCUGCCCUUAAAAUGUUUUGCUUGCUUACCGUGUUUAUUCGUCUCCUUUUCCCCUUUCAGUUGAGACAAAUAAAACUGGGUUCUAUUUCUGGGAGUGGCCGUCUCCAUCAGGCUCCUUCAGGUUGGUACUGACGUUGCUGCGCCUCUGUUUCCAUGUCUGCAGAGGCUUCCACUCUCGUUCUAGCUACUACAUGGAUUUCGUUCAUCGUCGUUUCGUGUUGCGGCGUUCUUCCUGUCUUCACCAUUUUGUUUCCGAAACAUUAUGUAGCGAGGCUUUUUUGUUUUCGCGGUUGUCUUUGGGAUUAUUAUUGUUGCCCCAGAAUGAUUUUUGUCCUUGAUUGGUGCGUGAUACAGCACCGGCAAUAAUGUGCAACAUCUUUAAUGUAAUAUUGUGAUGGGUUUGGAUUUACAUCCGGCAACUACUGUUCAUCCCGCCGCAUGAUGCCUACGCGUAAUUUGGAUUUACAUCAAUUCAAACUCCUCUCCCUCAAACGAUAAUCACCAAGAUAAUCUGUUAAUGUCGUUCUCCUUUCCUACCAGAAAGAUCGGAACCAUUUCAAUUGCAAACUUCAAUCACCAGUAGUCGUUGCAAGAACAUGAACCCAUCUCGAAAUGGUGGAACCUAUUCAGAUCCCUGACCACAAACUCCCUCUCAACAAUGCCACUGAUGAGCUUGAACGCCUCAUGGCAGUCACAGCACAUCCUCAGGUUCUUCAUCACUCUGAUGGGCAUCCCCUUUGGGACAACCAGCAAACCAAAUCCUAAAGCCAAAAUCUCGCUAUGCACUCCAACCAUUACACCUUUCCCUUCAUCCCCAUCAUCUUCAUGGGCAUCUGAUACUCUAGCACUCCCUAAUUUCCCUUUGUAACCCUUCUCGCUCAUCUUACACUCCAACUCAUCUAGCAACAUCAGCACUUCAUCUGCCCUUGCACCAGCACAUGAUAUUGCGCCAGCAUAGAACACAUAGGGGAUAUCCUUUACUUCAAUCCAGCUGCACCCGGGAUCCUUCCGUAUGCCGCGUCGCCUCAUGCUUGACCGGACAGCAGCAGCGUUGUCAGUCUGACCAGCUGAAGCGUAUGCAUUUGACAUCACUACCAGUCCACCUGCUACAUCUUGGUUGAACUCUGACACCCUCUGGCCAGCCAAGGUUGCUAGGUCCAAGCGCUUAUGUGUCCGGCAAGCUGAAAGCAAGGAGUUCCACAGAAGGAGGGCUUCAUUGCCUGCAACUUGAGCCUCCUUGGCCAGCUCAAAUGCCUCCUCGAACCGCCCUGCCCUACCGAGCAUGUCAACCGCACAUGUGUAGUGGCUGGGGCACGGAGCAAUGCCGUAUUUGCUCUGCAUGGAGUGGAGGAGCUGGAGGCCAGUGUCAACGAGACCAGAGUGGCUGCAAGCAUGCAUGACGCCAAGCAGAGUGACAUCAUUUGGCUGCACACCUCGAUCGACCAUCUCACCCAACAAAGCAAGUGCACACCUCCCAAGGCCGUACUUUGCUACUGCGACGAUGAUGGAGGUGUACGGGAUGAGGGAUGGCUGCUCAAUCCUGUCGAACACCUUCCUUGAGUAUUCAUAGCACCCACACUUGGAGUACAUGUCAACCAGAGCCACCGCAAUCACUUCGUUGUUUCCAUGCCCAAGCCGGAGAACUGCACCAUGGACGCACUUGCCAAUGCUGAGACGUACCACACUGGCGCACGCGCUCACGACGCUGGACAGCAUGAAGUGGUUGGGCGCCAGACCACUGCCAUUUAUCCUGAGCUCGGCGAAGAGCUGGAUCGCCUCGUUCCCGAGCGCAUUCUGCGCGUACACAGCCAGCAUCGCGCCCCACGACACGGCGUUCCUCGCCGGCGCCGCCAUGCCAUCGAACACCGCGCGCGAGUCCUCAACGCGGCCGGCCUUGCCAUACAUGUCGACGAGUGCGGUGGCGACGACGGCGUCGCGCGCGCACCCGGCGACCUCUGCGCGGGCGUGCACCUGCCUGCCUAGCCCUUCAUCCGCGAGGCGCGCGCACACGCUGGUGGCCGUCGAUAGGGUGACCACGUUAGGCUGCACGCCGCUAAACUGCAUGCCACGGAGGAGGGAGAUGGCCUCCCGGGGCCUGCUGGAGGCGGCGUACCCCGACAUGAGCGUCGUCCAGGAGACGACAUCCCGGUCCCGCAUUCCGUCGAACAGGUCGCGGGCGCGGCUCAUCGCGCCGCAGCGGCAGUAAGCAGCGAGGAGGUGGUUGGAGGAGGCGAGCGUGGACGAGAAUCCGGCCUUGAAGAGCUUGGCGUGGGUGGCGGCGACGGACGCGAGGUCGGAGGCGCCGCGCAGGAGGUGGAUCAGCACCGGCGUGAGCGUGGCAGUUGAGGAUGAGGGCGCUGCCAUGGGGAUGGGUUGUUAUGGCUGCGUCAUGCAUAGAAGUCCCUCAACUUUGCUGGCUUUCUUCCCAAGCUACGGCGCACAGCCGUGGCGCCCCGAGCGGCACGCGGUGUCCAGCCCCGGAGGCCAGCGGUUUCCCAGCUGCGGAGGAACCGGCCACGCGCGGCGUGCCAGCCGCGGCGGCCCCGGUGGCGCGCGCCGUCCAGCCGCGGAGGCCCGGAAGGCGGCCGAAACGGGCGACGGCCCCGGCGGCGCACGGAACGGUGGCGGCCCCGGCCGCGCACGAGUGCAAGAACCGGCGGUGCACGGCCGGAGUCGGGACGGGAGGCGACGGGCGCGCGGGAGAGGAGGCGUCGGGCGCGCGCGGGAGAGGAGCUGGAGGAGAGAAGGGAAGAAAGGGAGAGGAAAGGGGCCAAUCAACCGUGCCUUUUGAAUAUCCAUCCGCCGGGGGAGCUCGACCACCAGAUCCCUUCCCUUCCCACGGGUCGGCUCCUCCCCACCUUAAAGGUUCGGACGGUAUUUUCCGAGCGCUGCAUCAUCUCCCUCUCGUCCUGCCUCCAUACAGGCGCCGCCGCCCCUGCCUUCGUCCAGGCGCGUCGCCCCUCCGUAUCCAAGCGUCACCCCUCCGCGUCCAAGCACCGCCCCUCCGCUUUCCCUGACCAGGCGUCGCCGCCGUCGCGGCUGCUCCGUCUCCUUGUCCAGGCGCCGCCUCUCCACCUCCGAUUUGCAGCGACGCCUCCACCUCGGCCACCACCUCCGCAUCCACCAUGGUGGUGUCAUACGUCUUUCUCCUCAGCCUGUGAGUUCUCCUCCUCCUCUAUUUAAUAGAGAUUAUACUCCUCUUGCUGAUUUGAAUUAUUGUAGAUCUUGGUGACCUCAAAGCUGCUAGACCCAAGAUCCGUUCGUCUCUUCACUGGACAUUCCUGAUCUAGGUAAGUCUCUCCGUGCAUCUAGUAUGCUAGUAGUGCAGUUUGUACUUGCGUGAAAUGUCUCUUUACUAAUUGAUUGAAGUAUUCUGUCGUAAUCGUGUGAUCCAUGGCACCUCACGGGUUCAGUUUAGUGUGGUCACUUGAAUUGCGAGUUCAGUGUUGUCCCUUGAAUUUCUGUUUUAUAUGCUCUCUUGGGGCCAAUCUUGUGUUGGCUAGUAUGAUUCUCCAACGUACAGUAAGCAUUAGUGGUUGUCAUAGAAAUAAAUCAUAAGGGGCAGGUUUAUAGCAGUACAGUACAAUUCGUGUGGCAUGUUCUGAAGAAUCCUCGCUAGCUAGUAGUUGUGUAGAGUGCCCGUGUCAGUGCUGAUUUGCUUGGGUCAGGAUGGUAUGUUCAUAAGCUUUCUAUUUGCUAUCAUAAUAAGGCUUGCUUCCCAGAUUGUUUUGGAAACUUUACUAUUCUACUUUUUAGGGUGGUUAUUCUGAAUCUGUGAUCAUUUGAAAUGCAUGUCAAACUCUAUAAGCCUGUCAUUUUUCAUAGUUCCAUUCAUGAUUGUAUUGUUUCUAUAUGGACUUAAGUCAUGGACUGUAUUGUUUCUACUAGAUUUUGAAAUGUAGUAACUAAAUAAGGAUUUUUUUUAACAGGAUCUGCUAAGUUCUACCACAAGAACAAGCCAUACCUAGAGUGAUGUUACUACUGUGGUGACACCACCAUCAUGACUUGAGGUACAACUGCAAAUUCAAUCAACCAUUUCCUGAUUGAACUUUAACUAGAUUUUUUUGUGUAAAUAUGUUGGUCUGGGAUGUUGUUUGGUGCACUAGAGUUACAUUGAAAGCUCAACCAUUACUCAUAAGCAGUGAUGUUGAUAUUCUUAAACUCAUAAGCAGUGAUGGUGAUAUUUUUAAACUAGUGGUCACAUUACUCAUAACAAGUACCAAUGCACUAGCAUGUAUUACUAUUUCAAUUUAAUGUAAUUAAUGUUCGCAUAGUAGCUCAAACUAGUCAUGAGAUUCGUAGACAAAAUAAGCUAUCAUUUCUUUAUUGUACUGACUGUUCCGUAAAUAGGCCAAACUGCACUCUGAUUAGUUCAUUAAUGAUAGAUCAUUUGGUAUAUCUCUGAAGACAAUUUAUAUGAUGAUCUGUUGCCUGGUUAUGUUUGUUAUUUUCCUCUGCGAUUUCAUCAUAGAUUUCCGAGUAACUAAACAUGUAUUUUAAACUUUGCUCCUAUAACUAUAAAUUCGAAUACUCUUUUCUCUUUCUAAAAAAAGAACCUCUUUAGGAUUAUAUUCCAGUGUUCUGUGGAAGCUGAUGUUUAGUUGUUUGGUGAAACUGUUGUACAAUGUAUCGAAAAAUCUAUCAUAACCCGUUCUCUGACACAUUUGGGAUAUGGCUUCAUGGCUGAUCAGUAGAAUAUAAUUGCAAAGUCCUAUUUCUCUGAACUUUCAGGUUUUAGCUCAAUAUUUACAUCUGAUUUCUGUUGGCGUUUAGUUUUCUUUGCCAUUUAACUUUCUUUAGAUAAUUUUAAUGGCUCCUUUGUAGUGUGAUCACUCUAUUGAUAAUAACAAGAACUAGAAAUCUGAUAGAUAUUGGCAGAGAAACACUUUUAGGUUGCAUGUGAGAUGUAACUUUGAUUUAAUUUUCACUUUCAUCUCAUGUGACAUAGUUUACUUUCCUUACCAUAUACAUACAUAUAGAUAAUGGAAUCGUGGGAGGAUAAAGUUAGAAGAUUCAUGCUAGAGAAGGAAGAAGAGGAUGACGAGCUAUUCCUAGUUACGGUCCCCGCACUUCAGCAGUGUCUAUAUGAGGAGAAACGGUCGGAGCACACCUCAACUCUGCCUGGUGCUGAAAAGGUCAGAUAAAUCUUGGAAGGUCACGAGAAUUCGUGCAAACUGAAGUUCAAGAUGGAGCCUGAGAUAUUUAGAGUUAUAACAAAUUAUCUUAGAAUGGAAAACUUGUUACGUGAUACCCGUGAUGUUAGAGUUGAGAAGCAGCUGGGAAUGUUUAUAUUUAUGCUCUCUCAUGAUGCAAGCACCGAUAGGCUAAAAAAAGAAUUCCAACACAGUGGUGAAACAAUUCAUAGGAAAAUAGCAGAGUUCUUCGAUAUAAUUCCAGCACUGACUCAUAGAUUCUUGAAGCUCCCAAAUGUGAACCAUACACAUGUGAAGAUUGCAUCAGACCCUCGCUUUAUGUCUUUCUUCUAGAACUGCAUUGGGGCCAUUGAUGGCACUCAUGUUCCUAUCACCAUUGCACAAGAAAGAGCUGCUCCCUACAGAAAUAGGAAAGGAACCUUGUCACAUAACGUGAUGUGUGCAUGUGGCUUUGAUUUAAAUUUUACUUUCAUCUCAUGUGGUUGGGAAGGAUCUGCAUCUGAUGCAGGGGUCCUACGGUCUUCACAUACGAAGGGUUUUCAUGUGUCUGUGAGGUAGUUCUACCUUAUAAAUGGUGGAUACGCAAAUACUUCCUCAUUCAUUGCUCCAUACCGAGGAGUUAAGUAUCAACUUAGUGAGUUUAGAAGACAUGGAAAUUGGUAUGCAAAUUACAAAGAAUUGUUCAACCAUCGGCAUGCGCAGCUACGCAAUCAUAUUGAAAGGACCUUUGGCAUGCUAAAAAAGCGGUUUCCAAUUCUGAAAGUUGGGACAUUUCAUCCAAUAGAGAAUCAAAUUAAAAUUCCAGCAGCAGCUGCAGUCUUUCACAAUCUUAUCACCAACCAAAUAAUAUCAACCCAUCUGAUUAUGUUGAGUUGCCAGAGGGGGAUAACAACUACCCAAAUGAACUGCAAUCAAAUGAAGGAACCACCCUACGAGACCAAAUUGCUCUUCAGAUGUGGGCUACCCGUAAUAAAUAGGUGAAGCAUAAAUAUUUUCAUGACAGCCUGUAUUAUUUUUUUUCUUCAUUGCUUAUUUCUGUAUUGUUUUCAUGACAACCUUUAUCUAAUCUUGUUUAUUUCUUGUAGCCAUGUCAACGGAAAGGGCUACGUGGAGCCAGCCAUGUCAACGGAAAGGGCUACAUGGAGCUACGCGUAUGAGAAGGGACUUGUGGAUAUUCUGAAAGAGCUUGUCAACAUCCCAAUAUUUAAGAGAUAGAAUGGGUAGACAAAAGAAAGUUGGAGGAAUGGGUAGACAGCAGAAGGUUGGAGGAAUAUCACAAACAAAUUCAAUGAUAUAUUUCCAAUGGCAUAUUUCACGAAGUAGCAAGUGCAAGAAAAGGAGAAAGAGCUAAAAGGAAACUAUAAAAUAAUAAAAGAAGUGAGGAAAAGUGGUGUUAGCUAGAACGAUACCUUGGGUAUGAUCAUUGCAGAACCAAAAGGUUGGGAAAAAUUGAUUAAGGUUAGAUCUCUUAAAUGGAGAAUCAACCCCUUUAUAUAACAGCUAACCUUUAUACAAACCGUCUAAUUAUAUGUUAUUGUUGUACUUCAAUAGGAUAACCAUAAAGUUGUCAAGUUCCACAAGAAGUCAUUUCCUUUAUAUAAUAGCUUGGAAUUAUUGUAUGAAGGUAAUGCUUUCAUUGCCGUGAAAUUAGAACUGAUUUUUUUUCUAAAUGUCCUCUGAUAAAGUAGUGAUUAAGCUGUCAGUCUAAUCAUAUGAAGGUAAUGCUUUCAUCUAAUCAUAUGCUUUCAGUCUGUCAGCUAACUUAGGCUAAUUUGGUCAAGUUUGUUAGACUAUUAGCAUUGAGUUAAGGCCUUACAAUUCUAAUGUUGCAGUUGUCAAGGUCAAGACUGUGACAAAUAAUAUCGAGUCAAAACUGAUUUUGUUGUUUUUCAACUUAAGUGGUCGAAACAAAUAAUAUCCUAUAAGACUAUGUUGCUUAUUAGGUAAUGCACAACUGUUUUCUGAAUUUAAUUAUAACCUGUUGAUGCUAACCCGAUGAAGUUGCUAUCCUAUAAGAUCAUGUUCCUAGUUUCAACUCUCGCUAUUGUAGAUGCUAAGAUGUUGAUAUUGUUACCUUGAUUUUUUAUUUAAUAGGAAGUGCGACCACAUGGGAUUUAAAUUUUACAUCAAUUGAACCCACUCCACAAAGAACUAAACCCACUCCACAAAGAACUGAGCUGCGAGCUGAAUCCAAUUCACAAAGAAGUGAGUUGCGAGCUGAACCCACUCCACAAAGAAGUAUCUCAGAGCAAAGCAAUCAUAUCAUGGCUUAUAUAGAUAGAAAUCCACUCAAUUUUGGUCUUGGUGGUGUAGAAAGCAUAGAAGUUCAAUGUGCUCCAGCUAGUCGUAAUUCAGAGGACCAAGAUGUUACAGGUGGAAAGAAAUGCAAACAAAGUUAGAUGGCAACAAAACUUGGGAUUACAUUGACUUUAGAAAGGAUCAGAUUGAAAAAAUUCUAGAAAAUUAGAAGAGACGUGAAGAAGACUACUCAAUCGAGAAAUGUAUUGACAUUGUGAAUGCCAUGGAAAGGCUAUCGGAUGAACAAAAGGUUGAUGCAAAUGAAGUUUUCCAAAGUGAAACGAUCAGAAAAAUAUUGGUGGGAGCCAAAAAUCAAGUGUCCGGCUAAUUUGGUUGAAGAAAAAGAUUGCUCGGAUAUGUUCCCUUUCUCAGUUUUGUACCCUGCUCAAGUAUCGGUUGAAUCCUCUAUUUGCAUAUAUAAAAUAUAAAAUUUUGUUCCCUACUGGUGUAAUUGAUUUUACAUUUUUUUCUCCAGCUUCCUAACUCCAGUGCUGCAGCUUUCUAAAUCUAAUGUUGAAGAGAACCAAGAAGCACAAAGAGAAUGAUUGGGGGAAGGUCCUUGGCUUCAUUUGCUUAAAAAAAAAACUUGUGUUAUGUGUCGAUAACCUGUGUUACGUACCUUGCUAUGUACCUUGUUACGUGUCAGAUCGCACUGGCCGCAAAGGGAUAUUUUAUACCAGAUUGCUAUGUACCAAUUUUGUACAUACCUUGCUUUGCAAAGAGAUUUCUUUUUACUGUUUAGCGUGUUGGUUGUAGCAGCAAUGAGCGAUCGGGUUUGUUGGAAAAUGUGUUGCUAUGCUGCUAAAUUUCACCAGUGACGGGUAACACGUGUGUUAUUCAGCAGCUGCAGUGGCAGGGUUUUUUAUACAAGGAGCGACCGGGAUAGAACUUCCAAAUAGUGACGGGGGAGAGGGGUUAGAAAAACCGUCUGGUGGAAGAGAUUUGAAAAUCAAGAAAAAUCCUUGGAGGAGUAUUUCUUCCCUAACCUAAUCAACCCUAUGCUUCUAAAGACGCUCUUAUAGCUGAAAAGUGGGAAGGGGAAAGGGAUCUGUUGAAGGGGAAAGGGAUCUGUUGAAGUUGCUCCGAGCGAGCCUAGUUGCAAGGUAUUUGCCGUGAGCGCGGCCGCCGCCGCCCGCCGGUGAGCAACAGGCAACAGCCAUGGCGGCGCCGAAAAGAAAGACACUCGCACUGGCACAGUUGAUUGUUACGCGUACCGGGUUCAAUUUUGAAGAGUUUGGGCCUCGUUGUUUAGGCCCGCGAGAUAAGAGCCCGUUACAUACAAGUGAGACUGCUACAGUUUGGCCCAUUUGGGGUAAUGAUCACGACCUUCUAAAUUUUUAAAUAAUUUCUCGAAUACCGUUUGCCUUGUUUCAUUCGUAUUCGUUUCUUAUUUCCCGGUAACAUCAGAUUCAAAGUUUUAAACAGCAUAAGUUAUGGUGAGCUGCUUUUGGGGUGCAAGAAUUUGGUAGGAGUUUUAUUGCGUUGGAUUUAGGAUAAAGGGGGACAAAAAUCUGAAUUUCUAAAGGGACUGAGUUUGUUAUUUGAAUUGGCUAGGGUGCAAUCCAAACUAGACCUCACGUUUCCGAUUUGGAGAAGAAAGCAAAUACGGUUCACCUUUUCAGCCACACAUUGCUGGCUGAUCGAUAAAAGAUAGCGAGCCAAGCCACACAAACCGUACACCUAACAGUGACAGGCUACGUAUUCGUUACAAGUUCUGGCAUGAGCCAAUCCACACAUAUCCAUGCUUUCCACUUGCUUUUGUGGUGUGCAACUUCAAGUAAACUUGCACCACAAAUAUCAAGCAAUAGCAACCAAAGCCCCUUGAACUCGUACCAUCCACGAAAAACAGUCGAAAAGAAGACACGGAAAGGAGAGCUGAAAAUGACUCAUCACAAAUCACAAUUCACAUGAACUGGAAAAGAGGGGGCAACUCCUACAUAUAAGCAGAUCAAAGGCUACACUGCUACAGAUCUGAACAAAAGUCACAACCCACAUGAUGCAAUCAAUGGUUGCACAUGAAAAAGUUACAGCCAGCAACUCUUCACAAAGCAACACCCCAUGUUCUCCAAGUACAGGCGCAUGUUCCUGCCUUUGAUGCGUUCAGAAAAUCAGUGGCGCUAACACGCCACGUUUUCGGUACCACCAGACGAAUCAAACCAGCAGAAUGUGCAUUCAGAAAUCAGUGGCACCAACAUGCCAUGUUUUUCGGUACCAGAUGAACAAAGCAGCAGAAUGUGCACUCAGAAAUCUGCAGCAAAUCUAGCACACUGAUUACAAACAGCAAAUAGCCAAACAGGCAGAUGAACCAAUGAUAGGAAUCAUUUCCAUGCAUCUGUCUAUGCUCAAAAGUAAUGAAACACCAAUGAGUCUAUUCUAGGAGCCACAGCAUCAAUGGGGUCACUGUUAAUAUAACUCCAAAACACAUGGAAAACCACAUCAGAAAUCAUGAAUUAACUGGGCAACACUAACUGGGCGACACCACCGCUAGGUCAUAACCAGAAUGAAUGUACAAGAGAAAUGAUAAUGAGUCAUUCAAAAACUAUUACAGAACAUGCUAGUAGAUAGUUCAAUACUCUUUAACAUUGGCACCAAAUUUGCCAUCAAAGCGAUACUUGAACACACAAUGUAUGAUUCAGCACUGGUUGAAUAUAGCAGCCACUGAACAGAGUCUAAAAGGUACAUGGUUUUGACCCAACCAACAAAUCCGGCAAUAUAGCUCAAUGGAACCCCAGAAAUCUCAAACACAGUAGCUUACAUGGCAAGGACUCGACAAAAGAACAGCCCCAAUAAAGCAGAAAGACGGUGAAUCCAGGGCUUAGAAGCACUUCCGGUGAACAAUUGCUGGGCCUGACUCAUCAUACUCACCCUUCGAGAUCCACAUCUGCCAUAUAAACAUCAGAGCAUACUGUUAGUAUACUGACAAAAAUAAAGCAUAGUGCAACUACUGCAACAUAGGAAAAUCUGAUAGUUGAGCAACAGAGAAGUGUAAAUCUUGACCUGUUGGAAGGUGCUAAGGGAGGCAAGGAUGGACCCUCCAAUCCAGACACUGUAUUUCCUCUCAGGUGGUGCCACCACCUUAAUCUUCAUACUGCUUGGUGCAAGGGCAGUGAUCUCCUUGCUCAUGCGGUCAGCAAUACCAGGGAACAUGGUUGAGCCACCGCUGAGCACAAUGUUACCAUAGAGGUCCUUCCUAAUAUCCACAUCACACUUCAUGAUAGAGUUGUAGGUGGUCUCAUGGAUUCCAGGCGACUCCAUACCAAUGAAUGAAGGCUGGAAAAGGACCUCAGGGCAUCUGAACCUCUCUGCCCCGAUGGUGAUCACCUGCCCAUCAGGCAGCUCAUAGCUCUUCUCCACAGAGGAGCUGGUCUUAGCAGUCUCAAGCUCCUGCUCAUAGUCAAGUGCCACAUAGGCGAGCUUCUCCUUGAUGUCCCUUACAAUUUCCCGCUCGGCAGUGGUGGUGAAGGAGUAACCCCUCUCAGUAAGAAUCUUCAUCAGACUGUCAGUGAGAUCACGUCCAGCAAGGUCAAGACGGAGAAUGGCGUGCGGAAGGGCAUAACCUUCAUAGAUUGGCACGGUAUGGCUCACACCAUCACCAGAGUCCAACACGAUACCUGCAGGAACAACAACAUACUACCAGCUGAGAUGGAAGAACCUUAUACAUUUCAAAAUGCACUUUCAUGAAAAUGGAUAAUCACUUGCACACCUGUUGUGCGUCCACUGGCGUAGAGGGAAAGCACAGCCUGAAUGGCGACAUACAUGGCCGGCACAUUGAAUGUCUCAAACAUGAUCUGGGUCAUCUUCUCCCUGUUAGCCUUGGGGUUCAGGGGGGCCUCGGUCAGCAGCACUGGGUGCUCCUCGGGCGCGACACGGAGCUCGUUGUAGAAGGUGUGAUGCCAAAUCUUCUCCAUGUCGUCCCAGUUGCUGACGAUACCGUGCUCGAUCGGGUACUUCAGGGUGAGGAUACCCCUCUUGGACUGGGCCUCAUCGCCAACAUAGGCGUCCUUCUGCCCCAUUCCCACCAUCACGCCGGUGUGGCGCGGGCGUCCAACAAUACUCGGGAAGACAGCCCUCGGCGCAUCAUCCCCUGCGAAACCGGCCU